rnacentral:rRNA from 1 species
UACGUAGGUGGCGAGCGUUGUCCGGAUUUACUGGGCGUAAAGGGAACGCAGGCGGUCUUUUAAGUCUGAUGUGAAAGCCUUCGGCUUAACCGGAGUAGUGCAUUGGAAACUGGGAGACUUGAGUGCAGAAGAGGAGAGUGGAACUCCAUGUGUAGCGGUGAAAUGCGUAGAUAUAUGGAAGAACACCAGUGGCGAAAGCGGCUCUCUGGUCUGUAACUGACGCUGAGGUUCGAAAGCGUGGGUAGCAAACAGG